CCCAGCUGAUGAAGCGCUCUGGGUGAUCGGGGUACGGCUGCGGCUCGUGGUCGGUCGUGACCUCUGUACGGUCUGCAGAAAGGCGGAGGCAAGAGUUGACUGUGUUUGGGUCUAAUGUCAAAUCGCAGCAGUCUGAAAGAGAAGGGAUACUUUACUAAGAAGUCCCUUUAAGGCAAGUCGUGUUACUCAGUGGCUCAGUGUGUCUGGCUUCCGGUGUCAUCCAUGUCCAGCUAUUUUUAGCUGUACAAAACCGCUCCUUUUUUUUUGCGGACUGAUAUUUCAAACUGGUGUGUCUUACCUUUUUAUUUCAAUGUGUUAUCUUAGUUAUGAACACUGUUUUACCGUUUACUGCACUUUUAUAUUCUCGUUAUUUCUAAUGAACUAAUGGUGGCUAAUGAACCGGAAGUCUCGCACAUUGACAGAAAAAUAAAGUUGCAAUUUGGAAAAACCAGAAUUGCAAGAUAUAAACUCACAAUUGUGAGAAGGAAAAACCGUAGCAAUCACCUUUUAUUUAUUUUUUAAUUCUGUGGCGGAAACAGGCUUCCAUAUCUGCAGCUGCAGUGAUAUUCUGCCAUUAUUGCAUGUUACACUUUCUCCUGUUCAUAAGUAAUAUGAGUGUACCGUCUUUGUAUAUCUUAAGUCUUUGGUUUCAUCCAAGAAUUUACCAAGAAUGAACUCUGAACUCACACUGUAAGAAAUCUCCUCUGGUCCUCGGCUCAGUCUGGUGUAAAUGUCUAUGGGCUGGAAAAGGUCAGUGAGACCUCGUUGACUUUAUCUCUCAGCUCUGCGAGAGCUUUUCUCAGUAUCAGCAAAGAGAAGUACGGAUGGACGUCGAUGCUGGGGCGCCCCCCAGUGUCAGGAGGAGCGCAGAGCGUCUUAUAGUUCUGCACAGUGCAAACGUCACAUUCGACAUCCGCUGCUUUCCUACCAGCAUCUUGAACGCCGGUUCUCAGUUUCUCCACAAUAUCAGCCAGCAUGGUGUUUCUGCAUAGCACAGGUUUAGGACUAAAGGGAAUGGUGACCGGCUCCCACAGCACUUCCAAGCACACCGAGCAACAGAACUGCUCCUUAUCCACAGAGAUAUUCAUUCCUGCCAUUUUCUCCUACAUGUGUACAUGUGUUAGAGGAGAGGGAAAUGAAAGGUGGU